rnacentral:lncRNA from 1 species
CUAAGGUACCAGGAGUGAAGCACGGUGUACAAAUGAAAUGCAGAAACAAAACCCUAACCCUUCUUAAACCUUAUAAAAACAUUGCUUCCACUUUCUACAAAAUGUAUGCGGCAAUUCCGUAAUUGUGUGCGGGAAGGGGGAGAUAGUGCUUACGUAAGCCCUAGCCCACUGCCCCUGAUCCUGUUCAAGCCCCGUCAAGUGAGCAACAGCAGAGAAACUCAGCAAUGGCGAAGAAGCAAUCUGAAAACUCGGUCCAAUUAAAGCCUAACCACAAAUCUCUAUUGGCCUAUCCAUCGCUUUCUGGAUCGAAAAUAGUGGCUUUUCUAUAGCUCUCGAACACUUUAUCUCCGAAGCUCAAAUUCAGGUGUAUGCAAUUUAUCUAUUUAUUAUUUAUUUUUCACGGGUGAAUAUAAAUGCUAAUGAAUAAGAAAACGAAAAAGUUUAAGUUGGAUACACUGUUAAAGAUAUGUUAUACUGAAUUGGUGGUUGUACUCUGUUCACGUGUAUUCAUGAACUUUUUCCCUGGAGUGCUGGUAAAAUAUUAUAUAUCUUUCUGAGUUCGUAACUGUAACAAGAGAAGAAAUGGAAUGGAAAAAUUGAAAAUUUUCUGGGGACUGCCAAUGGACUUUCGGGAGUAAACUUCUAGAUAUCCAUAAAAUUUCCUGCUUGUUCCCGAAAACAUUGACAAAGAUGAAGUAACUUUGAUUUUGCUAUAUGUUUGCCUAAUUAUACAUGCAUAUCAGUAGCAAUUUAGGCUAUUGGCGUUGAAUAGUUUUAAACAUGAAGGCUGGUGAAAAGUGUGGAGAAAUAAGAGCAAGAGAGAAAAUGCAGUUUUGAUCGUCAUCCAUAUUAUUCAGUGUUACACUCUUGCAGUUUUUUCAUCGGGACAUAGCGCUGUAAAUUCUAGGUCAGGAUGACGAUUGGAAGGCUAGGACGCUUAAUUUAGAGGAUGUAUUCUCCAAGUAUUUGGAAAUCUGGUAAGCUACUUAACAAGGUCAUUUAGUCAGAAUAUAACCAUUUAUGUUCAACGACAAACGGUUUAUUCAUCCCAAGAAUUUACCUGUAGAUUUCAAAUUCAGUUGCCUAUAUUGAUCUUCCUCUUAAGGUCAAUUUUAUUUAAAAGAGUUUAUUAAUAUUUGUUUAGAAAAUCGAGAAAUUGAUAAAUUAGUUAUUAUAGAAAGCCAAGUAUUAUCCUCACUAGAUAGAAUUAGAGGUGACUCAUCUUUAAAGAUCAAAAAGCAAAUCAUUGAGCUUUCCAUCUCUCAUUGUCAGAGUUUCUUGAUAGUUGGUAUUAAAGCCAUUUCUUAGUCUAAAAUAAUUAAUUUAUGAAAAGAAUAGACUAUUUAAAUCUAGAAAUUCUAGGAAAUUUUAGGAGAAAAGAUAGUUUAGAUACAGUCUCUUUAGUUUGUAACUUUGAUAAAAAUUUUAAACACCUUUUAAAUUCUGAAGAUAAGCAGUUAAAUAGUGCUAUAGAUUUACUUGUAAAUUUAGGAGAAAAUUUAGAAAUGAACAAUUUAAACAGAAAGGUAGUAACUUUAUUAGAAAAUAUCAAUAAAAAUAUAAAGACUUUAGAAAGUUAUUUAAAAUAUAUUAAAAACCAAAAUACCGAAAUAUUAAAAAGAAAAUUUAAUAAUAUAAGAGAAAUAGAUACUAGUCCUAACUUAGAAAAAUUGGAAAGUAGAGUUAAAGUAUUAGAAAAAGAAAAGUUAAGAGAUAAUAAACAUUUAAAUAAUAUAAUAAAUAAACUAGAAAAAUUAGAUUUAGGUAAAGCUAAAGAAUCUAGUAAAUUUAAGAAGACUAAGUGGAUUAAUACGUAAUGGAUAAAGGAAAGCAAAUUAUAGCAAGUAGCAGUAAAUUAAUAGGUAAUCCUUUAUUAAGGACAUUAAGUUGAAAAACGGAAUCCGAAACAAGAUUAAAAUCCCUAAUAGAGAUGGACGAAUAGAUAGAAACGUUUAGAUAAAAUAAACUAAAAUUAGCAAAAGAUUUAGAUGUAUAUAAAAAAGAAAAUAUGUUUAGCAUUUAAUAUAUCAACAUUAUGGUGAAAGAUAUGUUUCUUGUACAUAUGAAGAUCAAUUUAUAUCCCUCGAUUUAAUAGAAAAAGAAUCUUAUAAAAAAUUUGUUAAUAAAAAUCUUCAACAAAUUCAUUUAGGAUUAAUAAUAAUAGGAGUAAAAGGAUAUCAUAGAGAAAAUUUAGGAGCUAAAAUAUUAGUAUGUUUAUAUUAUAGCAGAUUCACAGAUAUGAAACAAGAAUUAUUAGGAAGUAUAAAAUUAGGUAUUAAUAAUAAAGGAGAAAUAGUAUAUUAUAUGCCAGAUUAUUUAGUAAUAACAAAAAAAAUGUUAUAAAGAGAUUAAAAUAGGAAUAAAAAGUAAAGGAUAUCAAAUGAAAAGAGAUGAAGAUAAUUUAUUAAUUUUUACAGGAUUCAUAGGAAGACUUAGUUUAAAUAAUACUACUAAUUAUAAAUUAGAAAAUAAUCAAAUAAUUACAUUAUUAAAACAAAAAUGUAUAAAAACUAUCUCAGUGCAGAAAUUCUCUUCAGAGAGAAAUGCAAGAUUAGAUUGAAAUUUAGGAAAUUUCUUAGAAAGACCAAUAUUAGUACCAGAAGAUAACAUCAUGUAUGAAAGUAGUAAUGGAACUUUUAAUAUUAGAUUUGAAAAUUAUAAUUAUGAAGCAGAACAAAAAAAGCACAAUGAAGGAAUGUGGAUGCUUUGAGAUAGAAAAUUAAGAAAAUGAAGAUAAAGUUAAUGUGUUAGAUGAAGACAGUGAAAAAGAUGAAAUUGAGGACGAUGAAAAAGAAUUCUAAUAUAUAGAUAUGAAGUACUAUAGAAAUCUUAGAAAGACUAGAGAAAUAGAAAUUAGAAUGUUAAUAGAAAAGACCAAGCAAACAUAGAAACCAAGAUAGAAGAAGUUAGCAAAAGAACUAAAUUUGAAACAGACCAAAAAUUCGGAAAAAGAAAAGAUCCCAUGAAUGCAAAAUAUGAUAUAAGAGGUAAAUACCCUUUUCCCCUACAAGAGAUUUUGGAUGGAAAGAUAAAAAUUAUAAAAGUUUAGAGCAUAUAACUAAAUGAGAAAAUUUUGUAAUUAUAGCAUAUAAUAGUGCACCUAUACAAAUGAUUGUAAAAGAAAUGUGGGCUUACUUAGAACUUAUAUAGGAAAGACGGCAUUAGACAUGUACGUUAUAGCAAAAAGACAAAAACAAGAAGAAAUUAGAUUAAGAAUGGCCAUAGGAGAUAAUCAUCAAUUCCAAAAUGAUGAAUAUAUGAAAAUUGUGGUUUUGAUUCUCAUGUUAUUGAGCUUUUGCGGUGGUGCAGUAAUGAUCACAACAAAAAUUUAAUUCUCCAGAUGGGGCAAAGUAAGCUUUUGUGAUGUAAUCGCCUGUCAUUUUGUUUAUUUUUUCUUCAUGCUUUUAGUACAAUAUAAUGAUCAGGAAAAUGUUACGAGUCGCUCUUAUCUAUGAUGUGUUUUCUUACAGAAAAACUUGCAGGUGAAGCAGCAGAUAAACACCAAAGGAUUCUGCUGAUGGAAAAGUUUGCGAAUUACCAAUUGAUGAAUCUACUAGAAGCCAGAAAGACAAGAAGAAGAAAGGCAAGUUAACGUGUGAAUUACUAGACAGUGAUGAAAAGCAAAUAGAUGCGAGGAUAAUAGCAACAGGACAACAUGGUAGCGACAUUUCAUCAUAUGGGAAUAAAUUCCAGGCUAAAUAAAAGAAGAGAAAGAAAGAGGCUACAGCUUCUACAGAAUCAUCUGGUUCUGGUACAGAGAUAUGUGAUAGUGAAAACUCAAUAUUUGGAAAACCUAAACAAAAUUGAUUGAGUGUAGAAGAUUGUGUUGACGAAUAUAAGAUGGCUUCCUAGAAAUGAAAAAGAUUUACUCUUGAUGAAAAUGAGAACCACCCUGUAGAAGAAGUAGCAGUUGAAGAAUUAAAGCGCAGAAAGCCUGGAGGCUUAGAAGAAUUGAAGGUUGUUGAGCAGCAAAUCACUAUCUCUAGAGCUAAUGGACUUUGCUGAGUCUCCGAAUUUUCUGUUAAGAAAGUUGAUGAAAGCACUAACGGUAAUAUCAACAGGAAUGAACUGAAAAAUUCCAGUCAACCAAAAUCUGGGAGGAGACAGCGCAACAGUUCUGCUGAGGUAUACGUUUCUGUAUAUAUUUAUCCCUUUCCAUUUCUAUUUUGUGUUUUUUCUUGUUUACCUUUUUUUAAAAGAAAAAAUAAAAACAAAUAUAAAUCAAGCAGAGCUGCUCAGCAGAAGUCAUUCUGUUAGAGGAUCUUGUUGUAAACUAAUUAAAAAGUUGAAGUGAAAAUAAAAACAGAGUCGAGGAAAAUCUGGCUGAGGCUUGAAGCUAACAUGGUGAUUAAUCAGGAGAAGGAAUUAUAAAAGAAGGGGCGAGGAAAAUCCGUGGGUACUUGAAACUGCAGGAAGAAGAAAAGUAAAAUCUUAUGAAAUAAAUGAAUCAAGUUUUCUUUUGGCCGCCCCAGUUUAUAAAUGAUUUAUAUAUUUAAUCAAAGUCAAAUAUUAAUUUCAACCACACAUACAUAACUAUUACUCAUUUAUUAUCCACACAUUUCGAGGAACACACUACUAUUCCUCUUUAUAAUGGUUCAUAAAUUUGCCAAAAGGAGGCUAAGUGAUCAAAUAGGCCUGGAUCAUUUUCCCAUAAAGACGAUAAAAAUGACUUUAAACCCAAAGCAAUGCUGAUCACCACAAUGAUUUUUGAAAGAUUUUAGCAUUCUUAGCGAUCCAUGUGCACCAUCAUAGCACAGCUCCACAUUAUUUUUGCUUCUUUACUAGUGCUACUAUCUGAAAUCUUACAAUUAAAUAAAUCAACCAAAGCUGUUUCUGGACAAUGGACUCUUUGAAGUCUAGAAUCAAUCUCAAACAUGAUUUUUCUAGUGAAAUCAUAAUGUAAGAAAAGAUGAGGUCCUGUUACGUCACCUACAUAUGAAUUAAAUGACAAAGCUCAUGGGAGCUAUGCUUUUAUGACCGAUCACUACUUGAUUUUCAUUUGGAUCAAAGUUCAUGAAGUGGCUUCAUCUUUUAUAGGAUUUGCAAUUUUUGAAUGUAAAACAUCAACUGAGUAUUAGGUGUAUAUUAUUAUACUAUUAAUAGUUCUUGUUUUAAUAUUAUGUCUUGAAAUACUGGUUUAGUUAUAGUAUACACUUUUAUGGAUUAAAAAGUUCUAGAUAUCUACUAUGGAUUUAAAAGUGAUUGUUGGGUUGAAAGCAAAAGGUGAACUGGAAAGUUGAAGUGAACGUUGAGUUUUCUUGUUUGGUUGAAUUGAACAGAAAGUGACAGGAAAAUGAAUUCAGUUUGUAGUUCAAGUACUAUAUGGCCAAAGUUUAACCUGCGUAUCAUUUUGAACAAUUAUUCAAAAAUUUGUUUCCGCAAACCAGAGGGACGAAAGUUUCUCUCUGGAAGGAAUGAAAUUGGAGUUUCCGCCAACUUUACCCUUGUACCAAACAUAUUGUUUUUGAUAUGGUUUGUAAACUAUGUGUAGUAAAACCAAGCAUAACGUUAUGAUAUAUUUUGUACAUCAUCUGUAGUAGACUAGAGUUCUCACUUAAACAAAUCUUGCAAGGGAUAUAAUAUUGCUGAAGUAAUGUUAAGAGGGAACAUGUUUUUUCCAGUAAAAUCUUUUAAGUCUAUUCUUGCCUUCAUAUGCAUCCUUUUGCUGGUGGCCGGAAGGGUGGUAGUUUCGUUUUUGUUCUCUCCUUUUUGAGUUUGAAGUUUUGACCUCUGGCUGUGGUUCUUGUGUUUUCUUUCGUUUUUCUUCUUUAACGGUUAUGUAGCAUGGACACUCUAACUAGGAUAGCGUGUCCGUGUCGGACAAGUGUCGAUACUGACACUCUUCGAAUACUCUACAAUAAUUAUUUUCCUUUCUUAUUAUAGUUAUUAUAUAUUUUUGACUCAAAAUUUUUAAUAAAUAAUAAAUAAGUACUCAUAUUUAAAAGAUUUCAACAAAAGAGAAUCAAUAAUAAGUAUAAAACUAAAUUUAAAUCAUAUAAAUGAAGAAUUUAAUGAACAUGUAGACGAUGUGUCGUGUCAAUAUUUUUUUGAAAAAUCACGAGUCGAUGUAUCCAACACGUAUCGUGUCGGACACACGUGUCCGUGUUGGUGCAUCAUAGUCUGAUGGUGUUCAAAUGUAUAUAUUUUUUCUUUUCUAUUUUGCAUAGACUAUAGACGUUGAAUACUGUUGCUAUGGUUCCAAAUUGUUUUGGGUUUCCCAAAAAUACCUUAGAGGAGUUUUCAAAACGAUAAUAAUUGAUGGUUUAUGCAGCCCAAAACAGUGAAUGCGUUUCAAAGGGUGAAAGUUGAUGAUGUGAAAUAUGUUGAUGAGAGGCUUCAAGAUGACUCUUAUUGGGCACUGGUUUGUUUUUUUUCCUUGUUAUUUUCGCAUGCUCUGGUGAAUGUAUGAAUAUUUAUUUGUGUACAUGUGACACCGAAUAUUUUAUGCACAGACAAUAAAUGUUUCCAUAAAGCAUUCUCUACCAUGUUCUCCUGUGUUUUAACAUUUAAGGUGCAUUCAAUUGUCAAUAUGUUCCAUGAAAAAUUUGUUUUUCCAUUCAAAUAUCUACUUUUUUG